rnacentral:rRNA from 1 species
GAUGAACGCUGGCGGCGUGCUUAACACAUGCAAGUCGAACGCUGAAGCUCCCAGCUUGCUGGGGGUGGAUGAGUGGCGAACGGGUGAGUAUCACGUGAGUAACCUGCCCUUAACUCUGGGAUAAGCCCGGGAAACUGGGUCUAAUACUGGAUAGGACUGAUCAUCGCAUGGUGGUUGGUUGAAAGUUUUUGACGGUUUUGGAUGGGCUCGCGGCCUAUCAGUUUGUUGGUGGGGUAAUGGCCUACCAAGGCUUUGACGGGUAGCCGGCCUGAGAGGGUGACCGGCCACACUGGGACUGAGACACGGCCCAGACUCCUACGGGAGGCAGCAGUGGGGGAUCUUGCACAAUGGGCGGAAGCCUGAUGCAGCGACGCCGCGUGAGGGAUGACGGCCUUCGGGUUGUAAACCUCUUUCAGUUGGGACGAAGCCCUUCGGGGUGACGG